rnacentral:lncRNA from 1 species
CCGUGUGGCACAUCUCCAUUGUUCUAACUCACUCAUCCAUAACAGCUGGAGACCCAAGCAAGAUGGUCAGAAUGGGGAGAUUCACUUUGAUGUGGUUCCUCCUGUCUGCAGUCUGUAAGGGAGGCACCCCCUGAGACUUGCCGCUGCCAGAUAGUCUCAUUGCUGACACUGAGAAAACUGCAGAGAUGCCUGAGACAACUUCCAAAUAUUGUGGCAUAUAUCUGGUCUGGUCUUCAGCUUCUAUUUUUGGGUAUCUCCUGCCUGCCCUAAGUCUCUCUACUAUGAGAUCAUCAUCUUCACAACCUGUUACACCCAUAGUCUUCAUGUAGUCAGUUCUGCGGCAGUCAGAAGUGAACUGACCCUGUUUCCAGGGACUCAUGCCAGCUCACCUUGACCCACCUUCCUCAAGGAUUCAAAAAUGCACCCACCCUGUUCAUUGAGGCCCCCUCAGAAGGACUUGGAGACACAAGAGCUUCUUCAGCUCCUGGAGGAGUUGAGCUACAGCAUCAUGGCCAAGAAGGCACAACUCUGUGCCCCUAAAGUAUUGUACCUGGGGUAUGAAUACUCAGAAGGAAGAAGAGUUUUGUCCCAGGCCAUGAAAAGAUCAUCCUCCAGAUAACCACAUCAACUACCAAGAAUCAGGUAUGAGGAUUCCUACUUGCAGCUGGAUACUGUUGCCUGUAGAUACCUGGGUUUGCUGAGAUAGCAUGGAACCUCCAUUCUGGAAUGGAAAGAAAUCAACCCCUAGAGUGGGGAAUAGAAGAAGAAAAUCCUUCCAGAAUAUGAAAAAAGCUCUGGUAUCAGCCCUAGUUCUGGCACUACCCAAUGUUAGUAAGCCUUUCCUUCUAUUCAUCCAUGAGGUAAGAAGGAUUGCUAAGGAUGUCUUAACAGAGUCCUUGGGACCCUGGAAGUGCCAUGUGGUAUAUCUCUCUAAAAGAUAGAUCCUGUGGCCUCAGGAUGGUGUUCAUGUCUUUGGGCAGUAGAAUCCACAGCUUUAUUGGUCAAGGAGGGUGAUAAGUUGACCCUCAGACAGAACCUAGUCCUAAAUGCUCCUCAUUCAGUAGGGACGCUACUCGGGGGCUAACAAAUGGAUGUCAAAUGGCUGCCUCACUCAGUUUCUCAGCCUCUUGUUUGACAUAGUCUUCUCAGCAGGAGGGGCUCUCAGUCUGGCUACAUUCAUGCCAGGUGAUGACCCUGACACCCCAAUUCAUGAGCGUGAAGAGGUACUGGACCAGACCCAGGGGUAUGAUUGGACUGGACUUAUCAGGCACCCCCUUAGUUGAGUCAGAUGCUAUGCUCUUCACAGAUGGAAGAAACUUGGUGGUAAGUGGGGUGCAGAGGGCGGGGAAUGCAGUGAGUAUAAUGGAUCAAGUCAUUUGGGCCCAGCCUCUGCCCAAGGGGUCCUCGGCCCAAAAGAUAGAUUUGAGCACCUUGGCCCAGGCCUUGAGGUAGGAAAAGGAAAAGAAGAUAAAUGUAUACACAGACAGUAGGUAUGCCUUUGCUACUUUACAUGCCCAUGCAAGCAUUUACAAGGAGAAAGGGCUUUUGACAGCAACAGGAAAGACCAUCAAGAACAAAGAAGAGAUAUUUUCUCUCCUUUUGGUAGUAUGGGUUCCCAAGGAGGUGGCCAUCAUUCAGGUUCAUGGUCACCAAAAGGAGAAUACUCCCAAGGCUAAAGGCAAUCAUCUUGCAGAUCACACAGCCAGAGAGGCAACUGUGAGGCCAGCUGAACUCUUAGUCAUCCUGCCAACCAUGAGUUCUCCUCCCUCUUUGCUCCCAACUACUCCCACUUACAAUAGUGUGGAAGAUUAAUAAGCAGGCCACCUGCAAGCAAAGAAAGUUCCCAAAUGCUGAUGUAUAUGUCUGGAUCAUCACAUCUAUUUCCCUCAGGCAUUAGGAAGAGAGCUCAUCCAGAAGCUAUAUUCAGUAAAGUAACUGGGGUGGUUCCAAGAUGGAUGAGCUUUAGCUCCAAGAUACUGCUUUUCAAAGUUACAGUAGCAGGCCCACCAGCUCUCUACUAUGUGCCCAAACUGUGUACAAGUAGAUCCCCACCAGCCCCAGUCUGGAUUCCUCAGGGUCAGAUUCCAAGGCUGGAAUCCUGGAGAACACUUGGAAGUGGGUUUCACAGAGAUCAAACCACCAGCAGGUGGCAAUCACUAUCUCCUAGUUUUCAUACAUAACUUCUCAGGUUGGGGAGAUAUCUAUGCUACUUGGCAGGAGACUGCCCCAGUGGAGACAAAGAAGCUUCUUCAGGAAUUAAUUCUCAGAUUAAGAAUACCUGUGUCCACUGGAUCUGACAAAGGGCCCACUUUGUAACCUCUAUAAUUCAGUUAGUCAGUAGGGCACAGGGUGGGUAUAAAUUGGAAACUCCACUGUGCCUACUGACCCCAAAGCUCUGGGCAAGUGGAACAGAUGAAGCAGACACUAAAAUCUAAUCUGAUCAAAUUAAUGUUGGAAACUGGUGAAGGGUUGGUCAGCCUGCUGCUGUUGUCUGUCCUUAGAGUAUGGUGCACCCAUUAUAAAACAGAUUUUACUCCUUAUGAAAUUAUGUUUGGAAGACCCACUCCACUGGUCCCCAAAGUGAAAAGUGAGGCACUAGAAGAAUUUUCUAACCAUUCACUGUUUACUCACAGUUUUGAGCUACUCAGCCCCUGCCCACCUCUACACCAUGCCACCUGUUCCAUCCCAGUAAUACUGUCUUCAUCAAGGCUUUUCAGAGUGAAGGACUAACUCCAGCCUGGAAGGGAUAAUACACAGUCAUCCUCACAAUGCCCUUGGGUCUCAAGGUUGAUGGAAUUUUGACCUGGGUUCACCAUUCGUGCAUCAUAGUGUGAAACAGUGGACUGCUGAACUGGGACUUGAUCCUUAAAAGCUAAGGCUAGUCCAAUCAUGAUUGUGAUGCUUGUCGUUAUUGUCUUUGGUCUGACUAGGAUGAACUCUGGGGAGAUGCAAUGAGGAGAAUUGCACUCCUUUCUCCUCACCUCUGUUCACUCAGGAAAACUUCUAGGUAAUGUCACUUUUGGUGCCAUCUGACCUGGCAUCCUCUCAGGUUCCCUGAGGUCGAUCUCUGUAAAUUAGUUAGGAGAGAUUGGGAAAGCUACUACUAACUGUUCAUCACCCUGGGCAGCCGUGAGUUUUAUGCGCAUUCAUGUUUCAAUCCAUUUGGACAGCAGGGUUGUGGGUCCUCAACUGACUUCUCCUGCUCUCACUGGGGCUGUGUAAAGAUUACCUCCUAUAGAGGGUUACCAGAUGUCACUAAUGAUAUCAGAGUUUGGAUACAUGGGUGCCUAGUUCCAAUUCUGAUACAAAGACCCUUGAACUCUAAAUGGGCCACAGGAUGGAAUUGGGGAUUCUGCUUCUUGCUCCUUCCAGGACUAAUUCCUCACACAGGUAAAAUCAUGGCAUUUCAGACCAUGUUACUAACCCGGGCAACAAAACAGUGCAAAACCUGUAAAACUGAUGUAUGAGAUCCUACCACAAUUGCUUGCAUAAUCCCUUGCCCAAUUAAGUCUCUAAUUGAGUCAAUACUUUGAUAUCAUGCUUAGAGGAAUUGGGACUAUGAUAGCCAACUCAACUCCAUCUUGAGCCUCAAUAUCAUCUUAUACCUGUGCUUGGACAAAGCACCCCAAACCCCACAUCCUGUUUGGCAGUAAACUUGCUGCAGCUGCUGCAUGUUUUUUAGUUAUCUGAGUGUGUGAAACUUCCUUGUGUCCCCCACUCACCUGACAUGGUUGUGCCUCUGGAGAAAGAAAUGUGGGUUUUUUUAUAGAAUGGAGUACUACUCAGCUAUAAAGAAGGAAAAACUAGUGGCAUUUAUAGCUAAGUGACUGCACAUUGAGGCCAUACUCUUAAGUGAAAUAAAUAGGACACACAUGUGCAAAUACCAAAUAGUUUCUCUGGUGUGAAAACCUAAAAAGUGUAAAUGAGGGUCAAAAUAUAUAAUUGAUAUUGUGUAAUAGGAAGAAAAGGUCUAAAGUGGUAGGGGAAAAGCAAGAAGGGAAAAGAAAAAAUAUGAGUAAAGGAAGAAAUGGAAACAAAGUCUGUAAAUAGGGAUGGGUUGAGGGUUUGAAGGGAGUGCAGGGGAAUAGGGAAAAAAUAAGAACCAAGGAGCAUCACGUACAGGUACAAGUUCCCAAUGAUGACUAUAAGAAUAUUGUAUACCUAAAAUGUACAAAUAAACUUAAGGAAAAAAAUAACUAAUAUGAUCAACUUGUUCAAAUAUACACACUACUGAUAGUAUUUGUCUAAAGGCAUCCAGAGUUUAGUUGAGAGGGUAAACAACAUCCAUGAACUUGUCAGAGUUUGCACUAGGUAGAUGGAAGAUAUGAAAAGUAUUCAGUAUCACACUGGAAAUACACAUGCAAACACAUGCAUGCAUGUGCUAUCACACAAAAUCAGAUACAUGAAAUCCUACAACAGGGUCAUCAGUGGAGUCACUGCAGAUUAAGAAAUAAUCAUGUAGUAGAAAAAGAAACAACAGAACUUAUCUAAGAAUUAUUGUUUAGGAAAUGGAAUGAAUAAAAUGCACUACCAAAUAGUCUAACAUAAAGCAGUAAUGAAAUAGGAACAAUGUGAGGAGGUACAUGUCAACACUUUUUUGAAAAUAAGAAAGUUAUUAAGCCAUUGAUUAAGCAGUUCAAAGGAUCAUGGGAAGGAUAACUGUCAAGGACACUUGAGUCUUUCCAGAAAAAGAAAGGACAAAUGUAAAAAUGUAAAUUGAUAUGUGAGAAAUAAUGGAAAUUUUAAUUUCGAUUACUUUAAAACUAAGGGACUGAAGGAAAGUAAUACUACUGCAUUAUGAAUUUAAGCCACAUAUAAAAAUAGCAUUUAUGAGAAAAAUAACAAAAAAGAGGUGAUAAUCGAUCAUUAUUUUUCAAGCCAUCUGUUCUUGCUGCUUGUUCAAUAAGGGCUGGAUAUGUAGCUUAAUGGUACAGUGUUUGCCUAUUGUUGUUCAUGGCCUGGGUUCAAUCACCAGCACCAAAAAAGAAAAGAUAUAUAUAUACUUGGUAGCCAUUAUUAUAAUUUGGGGUUCAAAGCAAAGGUCAUUACUGCAUGGAGAAUAACAAAUAGAAUAUCAAGAAUAAACUAUAGAUAUCAUCAAGGGCUCACAAAAGUUAAAAUGUAAAGUGAAAGAUAUGAAAAUAUUCUGCUAAUGAAUUUGAUGAUGAAAAAAUAAAGUUCCUUAAAUGUACAUUAGGUGAAAUAAGUAAUGUGAGUAAUUAUCUACUUAAUAAAUUAAAGUGUUUUAUGAAAAGCAUUCAUAUGAAUAAAAUCUGCAUAAUGUUUUUUCCUUCGUAAAACAAAUCCUCACCUCUCCUUUACACUGAAUAUUGGAUGAACUCCCUGUAACAAUGUGGAAGAAGAGAACAGAACCAAAAGAUAGGAGAAUGUGAGCACUGAGUUACCUGCCAAAAACAGCCAACCCAAAAGUAAUCUGAGCCACAGGAUAAGUG